UAACCUACCUCUCAGUGAGGAAUACCGGCGAGAAAUCGCCGACAAUACCGCAUGCGCUUGUCUUCGUGAGGGAGAGAAGCAAAGUCUCGCGCAAGUGAGACGCUGGGAGAUGGGCCCGCGCCCGAUUAGCUGGUUGGUGGGGUAACGGCCUACCAAGGCGACGAUCGGUAGCUGGUCUGAGAGGACGAUCAGCCACACUGGGAUUGAGAACGGCCCAG
rnacentral:rRNA from 1 species